UGUGUUGAGCAGUGGUUGUGUCCCGUU
rnacentral:piRNA from 1 species